UGCUCUUCAGGACUUCUGUGACUCCAUCAUACUUGGGUGCCCAGCACUAUUGAGUAGGACAUCUGUAGGUCAGCCUCUAAAGAUGGAGAGAUCUCUAUGACAAGUUCUGGAACAAAGAAUGCUUUGUGAAGGGAGGUACUCAUCAUGGUCCUAUCACCACCACAUGGACAUACCAACCAGGCUGCUGUAAAUUUAUGGCUUCCCUAUGACCAUGAAUACAUAUACUGGGCAACUGUAUGGGAUGGAGAAGGAUUGUGGCCAUCACCCACAGGACAACAGCAUCAUGGGCUUCCUCAACAGGAUGUUCUCUUUUCCCAUAGAUGAAUACUGAGGUAGAAAACAGCUCUCUAUCUCUAAGGGCAUCACAGGGCAUCCAGAGCCCCUGUUCAUCCUCAACCCACGUGAAGCAGGCUGCAGGACAGUUGAACAACUAUCAGACAUGUGCUCUACUCUGGAAGUAGCACAGGGUCAACACUGUAUCACUGCAUUGGAAGUAGGGCUACCUGACCUGUGCCUUGCCAUCACCUGUAACAGUCAUCCCUGCCCUAGAGCACUCCACUGUUUUAUCCUCACCCAUUUGCAAAGCAGCAGAGGUACAGGGAUACAGACAGUCCAGGGGAGAUCCAUCUCUGCCCAGAGCAUGCGUUUGCAUGACAGUAGGUCAAUAAAGCCAUCUUCAUA